rnacentral:rRNA from 1 species
CCAGACUCCUACGGGAGGCAGCAGUGGGGAAUAUUGCACAAUGGGGGAAACCCUGAUGCAGCGACGCCGCGUGAGUGAAGAAGUAUUUCGGUAUGUAAAGCUCUAUCAGCAGGAACGAGACAAGACGGUACCUGACUAAGAAGCCCCGGCUAACUACGUGCCAGCAGCCGCGGUAAUACGUAGGGGGCAAGCGUUAUCCGGAAUCACUGGGUGCAAAGGGAGCGUAGACGGCUGUGCAAGCCUGAAGUGAAAGGCGGGGGCCCAACCCCUGGACUGCAUUUGGAACUGUGUGGCUGGAGUGUCGGAGAGGCAGGCGGAAUUCCUAGUGUAGCGGUGAAAUGCGUAGAUAUUAGGAGGAACACCAGUGGCGAAGGCGGCCUGCUGGACGAUGACUGACGUUGAGGCUCGAAAGCGUGGGGAGCAAACAGGAUUAGAUACCCCUGUAAU